CAGUCGCCGCGGGAAUACGGAGGGAGCUAGCGUUGUUCGGAAUUACUGGGCGUAAAGCGCGCGUAGGCGGUUACUCAAGUCAGAGGUGAAAGCCCGGGGCUCAACCCCGGAACUGCCUUUGAAACUAGGUGACUAGAAUCUUGGAGAGGUCAGUGGAAUUCCGAGUGUAGAGGUGAAAUUCGUAGAUAUUCGGAAGAACACCAGUGGCGAGGGCGACUGACUGGACAAGUAUUGACGCUGAGGUGCGAAAGCGUGGGGAGCAAACAGGAUUAGAUACCCCAGUAGUCCCUGUCUCUUAUAC
rnacentral:rRNA from 1 species